UUUAAAAGCUGUUACCAUUGGCUGGUACUGAAUGGAUGCCAAGCUUAGGUAUCCUGCUGUAUCCGGUAGAGGCUGUGACAAGCAUCAGAUCUCAUUUGCAUACAGCAGGAUGACAAGGAGUGAGUUAGCCUCAGAUGCAGGUGCUGGCAUAUAUGUGAGAAGUCUUUCAUUGAACACGUGCAGUUCCAGCUUAGGGAGAUAUUUCCAGCAUGAUUAUACCAUGCCCUGCCCACAAUGGCUAGACUUCUGGGUCCUGUGCACAGUGGCUAGAC
rnacentral:lncRNA from 1 species